rnacentral:tRNA from 1 species
ACCGAAAUAGCUCAGUUGGGAGAGCGUUAGACUAUAGAUCGAAAGGUCCCUGGUUCGAUCCCGGGUUCCGAAA